rnacentral:rRNA from 1 species
AAAGUGGCGAACGGCUGAGUAACACGUGGGCAACCUGCCCUUUGCACUGGGAUAGCCUCGGGAAACCGAGGUUAAUACCGGAUACUCCAUAUUUGUCGCAUGGCGAAUAUGGGAAAGCUCCGGCGGCAAAGGAUGGGCCCGCGGCCUGUUAGCUAGUUGGUGGGGUAGUGGCCUACCAAGGCAAUGAUGGGUGGCCGGGUUGAGAGACCGACCGGCCAGAUUGGGACUGAGACACGGCCCAGACUCCUACGGGAGGCAGCAGAU